GGUUCGAUUGACGAAUGGAACAAAUUAUUCAUAUUGUUUAUUGGUGUUUCAGAUUGGAAUGGGCGUGUUGUGUACUUUGCCCAGAAUAUUCCUCCCAGGAAGUAGUGGCAGAUUAUUGUUUAGUCGAGUUCCUAUUGGAGACUGCGGAGAUCCUGGGAAACUGGUGCUGUUUUUGGCAAUUAGAGAAGCAGCAAGCAGCAAGCGGCUCUGCUAACCCAGUUCUUGGCACUCGUGGAGAUUUUUCACGCCGCCCAAUUAACAUUCGUGGCGCAACCGAUUUGCCGUUCGAGUACGGAUUUAAGAAGAGGCAGAGCCUACAUAUCAAUUAGUCCCCAGAGCACUUCUGUUUGCCGCAUCGCGAUGUCCGAGUUCUGGGCACGCGCAGCCGGCAAAAGCUGCUUUCAGCAGAACAGUCCCCCACGCGUGGGCUUCUUUCGGUUUGGAUGUCGACCACCUUCGAUCCCCCCCUUCCGCUUCCCCUUCCAGCGACUCUACGUGAGUUACAUAAUGAGGCGUGCAAAAGAUUGCGGAUCUGACUAAGCGGUUGGGAGAGCACUCCACUCGGGUUGAUGUCGGGACACCGACACCUUUCAGCCUUGGAUUUUGCUUUCUGAUUUGCACUGCAGUUCGCGUUGAAAGCGAAAAAGCGCCUUGAAACGAAAACAAUUCUUUAAUUGCCAGAACAAAUCUUGGACACUGGCGGCAUUCGCCAAUUCCAGAUCCGCUAAUUGAUGCGAUAAUUAACACAAUUUCAUUAGAAUGACAAUCGCGUUUGUCUGUCAGAUGUUGUGGGACUUGGAAUGCAGCACACACAUAUCCAAUAACACUCGUAACGACGGGAUCUGUCGGUCUCGCUUUAUUCCCUGAAAUCUGCGUUGCGAUCUGCGAUGUGAUGUGGGUCCCUAUUCCACUCUGAGUCACCCGCUCACACUAUGGGAGGCUUCAAGGUUAGCUCGUCAACUCAGUUGAGACAACCCUUUGCUCAAUAUAAGGGGAAUCUAGUGGGGUUCGAUCGAGUCGGCUGCCUCGCCCACCCGUCAGUGGCCUGCCGUUUGCCAGUGACUGUGACAAGCGCUAUUUAACAAUAACCAUCCAUCGGAUCCCUAGCAUCCAUCGCACUUAGUCGCACACUAAUUAGUAUACUCGGCAGGUGAUUCAUGGGAACUCGCCCUAAAUGGGGGGCGGUGCUACAUCUAGAUACCUGAGCCUUGACCGCACUGCAAAUGUGCACAGACGGAACACAAACUGAUGUAUCUAUGCCCAUGUAACCGCUUAAUAUAGUAUUUAUCGAUUCAAAGUCGCUCCAUGCAAGGUUCAAGUUCAGUAAUUGGUUCAAACAUCCAUAGUUCCUCUAUACGUACGUAUGUGUUUGAUCGGACUUAGCUAAAAU